GGGGGCGACAUGGCUUCGACGUGGAUCGCGAAACCCGAGGUGCAUGCCGAGGUGCAGAGGACCUCGUAAAACCAUCUGCAAACAACAUAGUUGCCAACGACGACAACUACGCUCUAGCUGCUUAAGUCAGCUAGCCUUCGGCCGGUAGCCCGCUUAUAGGCGACCGGUACCGGGGGUAACCCAAUUGUAAGCUCGCGCAGAGGCUCGUCCGGGGCCAAAGCGCUAAACAACACCGGAACCGCCGUAUGUCUUCCCUGCCGCUCGGGCAGUGUACGGUUAAAUCAAUAGAGUCGGAUACGCAUGUAGAGCCAACGGCAGAGGAUUUGCGGACGCGGGUUCAAUCCCCGCCGCCUCCACCA
rnacentral:tmRNA from 1 species